rnacentral:precursor_RNA from 1 species
GGCUUGAGGACCGUAUUCAUGGAAGAGGAUCGAACAGAAGACUACUGAGUUCUUAUGAGAAAAAUGGCUCUUAAGAAAUUGAAGGUGAUACCAAAGGAAAGUUACUUAUUACUUUUGGACUUUGAUGAUGAGGACGAUGAUAUAAAAGUUUCAGAGGAGGCUCUUUCGGAAGAGAUGAAGUAGACAGUAUGUUGGAUAAAUCUGAGGACAUGAAAUAGGCAGUAUGUUGGAUAAAUCUGGAGGUCUCUGCUAAGAAAAACUGAGAACUUCACUGUAAGUGCAAGAGUUUGAACAGACUGGCUCCUAGCAGAAAUCAGGAAGGCCAAGGAAAUGGAGACCCUAUGACAUUUAUAAGACGCUUCACAUAAAGAGAAAAUGGAUGGAAACUUAUGUCAAAGAAUCUUUCAAAGGCAGGAACCAGAAAUUAGAAAGAUUUUGCAAAAUGAACGAACGAGAGAGGAAGAACAUCAACAACAAAUUUUGUGAGCAGUAUAUAACUACAUUUCAGAAGUCUUAUAUGGAUGUGCAGAAAUUCAAUGAGGAAAAAGAAAAAUCAGUGAAUAGUUGUCAAAAAGAACAACAAGCAUUGAAACUGUCCAAAUGUAGUCAGAACCAGACCCUGGAAGCAGCUGCAUCAUUGGACUCAAACUGAAUGGUCCAUGUGUUGCCACUGAUGUGAGCCAUUUGCAAGCC